rnacentral:rRNA from 1 species
UCACUUCGGUGGCGAGUACAGUGGCGCACGGGUGAGUAACGCGUAGAUGAUCUACCCUUCAGUUUGGGACAACUCUUGGAAACGGGAGCUAAUACCGGAUAAAACCUUCGGGUUGAAAGAUUUAUCGCUGGGGGAUGAGUCUGCGUACCAUUAGCUUGUUGGUGGGGUAACGGCCUACCAAGGCGACGAUGGUUAGCGGGUCUGAGAGGACGAUCCGCCACACUGGAACUGAGACACGGUCCAGACUCCUACGGGAGGCAGCAGUAGGGAAUAUUGCGCAAUGGGGGCAACCCUGACGCAGCAAUGCCGCGUGAGUGAAGAAGGCCUUCGGGUCGUAAAGCUCUUUUAUGGGGGAAGAUGAUGACGGUACCCCAUGAAUAAGCACCGGCUAACUACGUGCCAGCAGCCGCGGUAAUACGUAGGGUGCGAGCGUUGUUCGGAAUUACUGGGCGUAAAGGGCGUGCAGGCGGAUUGGCAAGCCGGAGGUGAAAGCCCGGGGCUCAACCCCGGAGGGUCUUUCGGAACUGCCAGUCUUGAGAGGGUCAGGGGCCAGCGGAAUUCCUGGUGUAGAGGUGAAAUUCGUAGAGAUCAGGAGGAACACCGGCGGCGAAAGCGGCUGGCUGGGGCCACUCUGACGCUGAGGCGCGAAA